AUAGAGGCUUCAUUUGAAGCCAUAAAUUUUAAUUUAUUCCAAUAUU
rfam:Arcobacter sp. LPB0137, complete genome.